GUAAACCACCAUCACGGGAUCGACCUUCAGUGGGCUGCCUUUGAAACAAGGAUUUGAAAAAUACAGUCCUCAAAACAAAUUAAAGUCUCGUUUCCUUGUCUGGAAAAGACUUCUUGUCCUCAUGGUACUACAGGAAAACGUCAACAAAGGAAUUAAGUAGACACUGAAGAUUUUCAGAUAAAAAGCCAAGAAAGCCAGUAGCUAAGCUCCAAAGAGUCUUUGGCUGAAACGCUGAUCUCCAAAAGGUGGGAUGCUACCUAGCAAAGCUCUGUGUGACAGAAGAAAGAAGAACUAUGCUCCCACAGUCCCAGGGCACAGAGAGCCCUAACCAGAAUCACCACAUUACUUCUUCAUAGUACAAUAGGAGCUGGCACAUCUAAUAAGCUCAAAAGACAUGCAGGUGGCAAUUCUGACAACAACCAUUGCAGUAGCUACGUAUGCAGAGAACAAACAGAAGAGCUUAUAUUGAUCUCCAGUAAGGAAAACUAAAAGUAGUUUACUUAUUAAAAAGAUUUAGCAGGACUGUAGAUCUGGGCAACAUCAUAUAUAGAAACAAGUUUUAAAUCAAUUAUGGACUACUCAUGGCAAAAUAAAAUUAAGUACUGCAUUCUAUUCAACAAACGCCAGUUCAGAGGGUGACAUCCUGGUCAUUUUUGACUGUUUUGACAGAAUGCUGCUUUCCAAUACUACGAAGUCUUGUUUUAAUCAGAACAACAUUUAGAAUCAGCGCUGUUCGAGGAACUCAAGUCUUCUGCCUCAUUCCAGACUGAAAGAUAGCUUUGCUCUGUUAGGUAAAGUACACUUGAUAUAUAAAAAAGUGCAUUUCAAGACAGUAACUGCUAAAUCCCACAGUGGAAGUUGUUACAGGGUUACUUUUAAAAGCAAAAAAACUGUUAAAGACAAUCUACUCUCCAGGAAGUGUGCUAGAUGAUAAAACAAUAGUGAAUAUGAAAGCUGGCAAAGCAGACGCUCUCAGAAGAGGCAAUGGCAGUAACAAAAGUUUAAUUAGCUGAGGAAGAAAAAAGAAAAUUCCUAAAAGACUAGUCAGGAGGCAUCAUAAAUUAAACAUCCACUAGCUUUCCUCAAAGUCAAAUAAAGAGCCCUGGCUACCAAGUAUGAUGCUACUGACUGGAACAAAGAAUUUAAAGAAAGUACAGGGUGGGAGAAAUCAUACCACCUUCACCUUUACAUACUAGCAUUACCUUGACUUGGGAUUUAGGUUUCAUUUAAAUUCAACAGUUCUUAGCAGUUGAAAAGAAGCUGGGGAGGCAAUAUGAAAGCAGAUCCAAGACAUUUGGAUAAGCUAGCAGCUCUAUUAAACCGUGUGCACUGUUAGCUGAGAUGGCAAGUUUUCAUUUUCAUAGGAAGGGCCAAUACUGUGACUAACACAUCGAAGAACAAAAAAUGGAGCAGUCAGCCAGUUAACUGGGACCAUCAUUUAUUUUUGAAAUUGGCAAGCAGCUGUGGUAGAGAAAUGAUGGUUGUGCUAUGCUCGUUCUUCUUAAUGUUGUUGGUGGAAAAGUCCAGACAAGAAUUACAAAAACUUCUUAUGCUUU